AGCGGCGGACGGGUGAGUAACGCGUGGGUAACCUGCCUCAUACAGGGGGAUAACAGUUGGAAACGGCUGCUAAUACCGCAUAAGCGCACAGUACCGCAUGGUACGGUGUGAAAAACUCCGGUGGUAUGAGAUGGACCCGCGUCUGAUUAGGUAGUUGGUGGGGUAACGGCCUACCAAGGCGACGAUCAAUAGCCGACCUGAGAGGGUGACCGGCCACAUUGGGACUGAGACACGGCCCAA
rnacentral:rRNA from 1 species